rnacentral:rRNA from 1 species
AGUAACGCGUGAGUAACCUGCCUUCAAGAGGGGGAUAACAUUCUGAAAAGCAUGCUAAUACCGCAUGACAUAUCGGAACCACAUGGUUUUGAUAUCAAAGAUUUUAUCGCUUGAAGAUGGACUCGCGUCCGAUUAGUUAGUUGGUGAGGUAACGGCUCACCAAGACCGCGAUCGGUAGCCGGACUGAGAGGUUGAACGGCCACAUUGGGACUGAGACACGGCCCAGACUCCUACGGGAGGCAGCAUG